UGAAAAUAAGCUUUAUUUUAUGUGGGAAUCC
rnacentral:piRNA from 1 species